AAUAUGAAUAAAUAUUGCUAAAACUUGAAUUGAAAAUGGGUAGUAAAGAAAAGAAAAGAUAAGAAAAUGAAAGAAAAGUGGAAUUAUGACAUCACAUGAUGUCAUUAGUUAACUCUCCACCAAUCACAAUUAAGCAAACUCAUUAAAAAGGGAUAAAAUGAGUUAAAAUUGAAAACACAAUCUGCUAUACCUCACCUUCUUCCAGUUAAAACACACUCACUCCCUCUCUUCCACCAUUAAAG
rnacentral:misc_RNA from 1 species